GAAGGGAUAGCUCAUCGGUAGAGCAUUCGACUGCAGAUGGAGUGGUCCCCGGUUCAAACCCGGGAGUUUUCUUCA
rnacentral:tRNA from 1 species